UCCUGCGUCGCUCAGUUGGUAAAGCAUCUGCUUGCAAUGCGGGAGACCUGGGUUUAAUUCCUGGGUCAGGAA
rnacentral:tRNA from 1 species